AUUGAACGCUGGCGGCAUGCCUUACACAUGCAAGUCGAACGGCAGCACGGGUGCUUGCACCUGGUGGCGAGUGGCGAACGGGUGAGUAAUACAUCGGAACAUGUCCUGUAGUGGGGGAUAGCCCGGCGAAAGCCGGAUUAAUACCGCAUACGAUCUACGGAUGACAGCGGGGGACCUUCAGGCCUCGCGCUAUAGGGUUGGCCGAUGGCUGAUUAGCUAGUUGGUGGGGUAAAGGCCUACCAAGGCGACGAUCAGUAGCUGGUCUGAGAGGACGACCAGCCACACUGGGACUGAGACACGGCCCAGACUCCUACGGGAGGCAGCAGUGGGGAAUUUUGGACAAUGGGCGAAAGCCUGAUCCAGCAAUGCCGCGUGUGUGAAGAAGGCCUUCGGGUUGUAAAGCACUUUUGUCCGGAAAGAAAUCCUUGGCCCUAAUACGGUCGGGGGAUGACGGUACCGGAAGAAUAAGCACCGGCUAACUACGUG
rnacentral:rRNA from 1 species